GAACGCUGGCGGCACGCUUAACACAUGCAAGUCGAACGGAGUUAAUUGAGCUUGCUUAAUUAACUAGUGGCGGACGGGUGAGUAACACGUGAGCAAUCUGCCUUCAGAGGGGGAUAGCAGUUGGAAACGACUGAUAAUACCGCAUAACAUAGCGAGACCGCAUGAUCUUGCUAUCAAAGAUUUAUCGCUGAAAGAUGAGCUCGCGUCUGAUUAGAUAGUUGGUGAGGUAACGGCCCACCAAGUCGACGAUCAGUAGCCGGACUGAGAGGUUGAACGGCCACAUUGGGACUGAGACACGGCCCAGACUCCUACGGGAGGCAGCAGUGGGGAAUAUUGCACAAUGGAGGAAACUCUGAUGCAGCGAUGCCGCGUGAGGGAAGAAGGUUUUCGGAUUGUAAACCUCUGUCUUAUGGGACGAUAAUGACGGUACCAUAGGAGGAAGCUCCGGCUAACUACGUGCCAGCAGCCGC
rnacentral:rRNA from 1 species